ACGAUGCGUAGGGGUUCUGAGAGGAAGGCCCCCCACACUGGGACUGAGACACGGCCCAGACUCCUACGGGAGGCAGCAGUGAGGAAUAUUGGUCAAUGGGCGGAAGCCUGAACCAGCCAAGUCGCGUGAGGGAUUAAGGCCCUGCGGGUCGUAAACCUCUUUUGCCGGGGAGCAGUGGUCCGGACGCGUCCGGGCCGGGAGAGUACCCGGAGAAAAAGCAUCGGCUAACUCCGUGCCAGCAGCCGCGGUAAUACGGAGGAUGCGAGCGUUAUCCGGAUUUAUUGGGUUUAAAGGGUGCGUAGGCGGGCAUUUAAGCCGGCGGUCAAAUGUCGGGGCUCAACCCCGGCCUGCCGUCGGAACUGGGUGCCUUGAGUGGGCGAGAAGUAUGCGGAAUGCGUGGUGUAGCGGUGAAAUGCAUAGAUAUCACGCAGAACCCCGAUUGCGAAGGCAGCAUACCGGCGCCCUACUGACGCUGAGGCACGAAAGUGCGGGUAUCGAACAGGAUUAGAUACCCUGGUAGUCCGCAC
rnacentral:rRNA from 1 species